GUGCUAGCUUCGGCAACACAUAUACUAAAAUUGGAAAGAUACGGAGAAGAUUAGCAUGGCCCCUGUGCAAGGAUGAAAUGCAAAUUCGUGAAGUAUUCCAUAUUAAA
rnacentral:snRNA from 1 species